rnacentral:rRNA from 1 species
AACGAACGCUGGCGGCAGGCUUAACACAUGCAAGUCGAGCGCCCCGCAAGGGGAGCGGCAGACGGGCGAGUAACGCGUGGGAAUCUACCCAUCUCUACGGAAUAACGCAUGGAAACGUGUGCUAAUACCGUAUACGUCCUUCGGGAGAAAGAUUUAUCGGAGAUGGAUGAGCCCACGUUGGAUUAGCUAGUUGGUGGGGUAAAGGCCUACCAAGGCGACGAUCCAUAGCUGGUCUGAGAGGAUGAUCAGCCACACUGGGACUGAGACACGGCCCAGACUCCUACGGGAGGCAGCAGUGGGGAAUAUUGGACAAUGGGCGCAAGCCUGAUCCAGCCAUGCCGCGUGAGUGAUGAAGGCCCUAGGGUUGUAAAGCUCUUUCACCGGUGAAGAUAAUGACGGUAACCGGAGAAGAAGCCCCGGCUAACUUCGUGCCAGCAGCCGCCGUAAGAC